AGGACGAACGCUGGCGGCGUGUCUAACACAUGCAAGUCGAACGCGCUCCAUUCGGUAGCAAUACUGAUGAAGAGCGAGUGGCGAACGGGUGAGUAGCACGUGAGCAACCUGCCCCGAAGACUGGGACAACACCGGGAAACCGGUGCUAAUACCGGAUAUCCCUAUCGGAUCGCAUGAUCUGAUAAGGAAAUGUUUUUCGCUUCGGGAGGGGCUCGCGGCCUAUCAGCUAGUUGGGGGGGUGACGGCCCACCAAGGCGACGACGGGUA
rnacentral:rRNA from 1 species